GGGCGGGUAGCUCAGCGGGAGAGCAUCGGCCUUACAAGCCGGGGGUCACAGGUUCAAAUCCUGUUCCGCCUACCA
rnacentral:tRNA from 2 species